UACGUAGGGUGCGAGCGUUGUCCGGAUUUACUGGGCGUAAAGAGCUCGUAGGCGGUUUGUCGCGUCGUCUGUGAAAUCCCACAGCUUAACUGUGGGCGUGCAGGCGAUACGGGCAUAACUUGAGUACUGUAGGGGAGACUGGAAUUCCUGGUGUAGCGGUGGAAUGCGCAGAUAUCAGGAGGAACACCGGUGGCGAAGGCGGGUCUCUGGGCAGUAACUGACGCUGAGGAGCGAAAGCGUGGGUAGCGAACAGG
rnacentral:rRNA from 1 species